rfam:Loxodonta africana unplaced genomic scaffold scaffold_4, whole genome shotgun sequence.
GGUGGUGCAGUGGUUAAGCACUUGGCUGCUAACCAAAAGGUCGGUGGUUUGAACCCACCAUCCA